rnacentral:snRNA from 1 species
GGAGGUGUGUGUCUUCGUAUGGGAUGGCACGAUGACUGAACAUUGAUCGCCAAAACAGUUUAGUUUUGCAGAUCUGACCAGUGUGGCAUGCGUCUCAACUCUAAUAGUAGUCUUUCUUCUGUGUCAACGGUGAUCUCUCACUGCAUGGCGACGGGCUGUACGAUUAAUGUCAUCUGUGAUACGA